rnacentral:lncRNA from 1 species
GCAGGUGCUGCUGGUGGCAGCAGGAUUGGGGAAACUGAGGCAGGAGGUGCAGCUUGUAGGCAGGUUUGCAGCCCGCCAGUGCUGGCUGCAUGCUCUGAUGUUCCUUCAGCAACUCCUCCAGCGCUGCAGCAUUUUCUUUCUUCUCCGUGAUGAGGCGCACCAGGACCCCGAUGGUGUCCUCGUUGGCAUCCUCAAUCUGGUAGAUGGAGCUGGGACCGCUGGUGCUGUGCUCGUGCUCCUUGUGUGCGGUGCAGUGGUAGCCCUUCUUCUUCAGCAGGUUGCACACCAGGAUGCCCAGCAACCCCAUGGCACAGAACACGGGCACGAUGGCCAACACGGCCGACUGCGCCGUUGCCGCCUCCUCUGGCUGAAGCUCCCAUGUCCCAUUGGUCCCCGAUGGUCCCCGAGCUGCCACCACACUCCGGGCUCGCCG